rnacentral:misc_RNA from 1 species
UACGUAGGGCGCAAGCGUUAUCCGGAUUUAUUGGGCGUAAAGAGCUCGUAGGCGGUUUGUCGCGUCAUCCGUGAAAGUCCGAGGUUCAACCUCGGAUCUGCGGUGGGUACGGGCAGACUAGAGUGAUGUAGGGGAGACUGGAAUUCCUGGUGUAGCGGUGAAAUGCGCAGAUAUCAGGAGGAACACCGAUGGCGAAGGCAGGUCUCUGGGCAUUAACUGACGCUGAGGAGCGAAAGCGUGGGGAGCAAACAGG